UAUUUGUAUAUCGGGUUCCGAGGCUUUUUGCUGCUUGCUUGCCGGCGUGUGUGAGCCUUACAGAACCUUCUGUUCCGGCACAAUGAGUCCUGUUUUAACUGUUUUCUUCCAGCCUCUGUCUGUCGUAUAUAUCGCUAUCUGCAUUCGUUCGGACGACUUGGAGGUCGCCAUUUUGGGCUGGUGCCUUUGUCAGGUUAUCACAUGAAAGGGCAGCACCCCUCACCAGGUUCCAGAUGCCAUCAGGAUGCUGGCCAGGCUUCCCUGGAUUGAAGACCCCACCAAUGUGUCCUGGAGCUCAGCUUCCCCAGAGACACACCUUACUAGGGAAAGAGAGAGGCAGACUAGGAGUAUGGACCGACCAGUCAACGCCCAUGUUCAGCAGGGAAGCAAUUACAGAAGCCAGACCUUCUACCUUCUGCAACCCACAAUGACCCUGGGUCCAUGCUCCCAGAGGGCUAGAGAAUGGGAAAGCUAUCAGGGGAGGGGGUGGGAUAUGGAGAUUGGGUGGUGGGAAUUGUGUGGAGUUGUACCUCUCCUACCCUAUGGUUUUGUUAAUUAAUCCUUUCUUAAAUAAAAAAAUAAUAAAAAAGAA